AGCAGGUCCCAAGGGUUUGGCUGUUCGCCAAUUAAAGCGGUACGUGAGCUGGGUUUAGAACGUCGUGAGACAGUUCGGUCCCUAUCUUUCGUGGGCGUAGGAUAUUUGAGAGGAUCUUUCCCUAGUACGAGAGGACCGGGAUGGAUGAACCACUAGUGUACCAGUUGUCGCGCCAGCGGCAUAGCUGGGUAGCUACGUUCAGAAUGGAUAACUGCUGAAAGCAUCUAAGCGGGAAGCCAACCUCAAGAUAAGAUAUCCCUUCUCCUGACUUGUCAGGAGACUGAAGACCCCUUGUAGACUACAAGGUUGAUAGGCCAGGUGUGUAAGUGCGGUAACGUAUUGAGCUAACUGGUACUAAUAGGUCGUGAGGCUUGGCCAUAAAA
rnacentral:rRNA from 1 species